GGCUCGGCGCAGUCUACGGGCGACAGGGCGCUGACGAGGUGGCGAAGGCGGCGGGUGCGGGGGCGCGGGAACCCCGGCCAAGCCCAGGGACCAGAGGGCGUUCCCUCCCAGCGCCCGGAACCGGGUAACUUCCCGCUGCCCGGGACGGAGUUUCUCUGCUGCCCACGGACAUGAGGCGGCGUAGAGGGCAAGUGGGAUAACCCCACUUGCACCUCACCUUUAUCCAGGGGAGCCAGGGGAGCCAGGGAAGCCUGAGGAGCCAGCAGGUCCGGACUCGCUGAGGGAGAUCCACGCGGGGCCUACCACGCACAGGACCCGGAUGCCUCUUCGGCUCAUUCAGGAAAAGCACAAGACAAACCAUCCCAUCCUGAGCCCUGCAUGGACUGCAGGCCGAAGCCGUCUGUUGUGCAGACUUGCGAUGUUGACUCAGCCACGACUUCCUCCUCUCUUCAGCACCUGUGGCUUCCAGGGGGGUCCUCCAGGUAAGGCAGGUAAGACCCAGGCCAGCUCAGGGAGUUCUGGAAAGCUCGGCCGACUCCCCCCAUCAUGGGAGCAGGAGGACACUGAGAUGUGGGGGUUUAGUUGCCACCAACGUGAAGUGGCCCAUUUGACACAGGCAGAGGAGGUUUAUCAGGCAAAGCCUGCUGACGCUUGAUUCCUGACUUCACCAUAACAAUCUCAUCUGCUGAAACAAAGGGCAUUGUCAGAACAGACCAGAGGUAUCUGGCCUCAGAAGUCUCACCCAGCAACAUCUCCUUGGGGAUCUUGGUGUUUUGUGUGACUCUGGGAGAGUUCCCACAGGGACCUGGGUGCACUGAUGCUGCAGUGAACCCCGACGCCCCCAUCACCAGCCAAAUUAUCUAACUAAACUCCAAUCACAGCGGGAGACUAAAAUUCCACAAGAUCAGAAUACAGGGAGGCCUGGAUCAGAAGAGGCGAUAUGCAGAUUCAAAUAGCCCCUUGCCUGGGGCACACUACUCUCCUCCCAUCUCUGAAUCGGCCUUGGGAAUUGGACUGCUGUGCGGAGGGAUUCAAGAUUGGAAAUGAAACAAUCGACGCUGAUUGCCGAGCGGCUGUGCGGACGAGAAGACGGUGAGCUGCGCCGCCUGUGUCCCCUGAAUUGCCUGGCACCUCCCUUCCCUAGCCUGGACCUUUAACUGCCACGCUUUCAUCUUGUGAACCACCCUCAAACCUUUCAAUAAAAUCCUUUAUUGCUUUAAACAGUCAAUGGAGUUGCUUGG